UACGUAGGGUGCGAGCGUUGUCCGGAAUUACUGGGCGUAAAGAGCUUGUAGGCGGUUUGUCGCGUCUGCCGUGAAAUUUCGGGGCUCAACCCCGAACUUGCGGUGGGUACGGGCAGACUAGAGUGUGGUAGGGGAGACUGGAAUUCCUGGUGUAGCGGUGAAAUGCGCAGAUAUCAGGAGGAACACCGGUGGCGAAGGCGGGUCUCUGGGCCGAAACUGACGCUGAGGAGCGAAAGCGUGGGGAGCGAACAGG
rnacentral:rRNA from 1 species